rnacentral:rRNA from 1 species
UGGGGAAUCUUGCGCAAUGGCCGAAAGGCUGACGCAGCGACGCCGCGUGCGGGAGGAAGGUCUUCGGAUCGUAAACCGCUGUCGGGAGGGAAGAAGCGACCGGGGAGGCAAUGCCCCGGUUCUGACGGUACCUCCAAAGGAAGCACCGGCUAACUCCGUGCCAGCAGCCGCGGUAAUACGGAGGGUGCAAGCGUUGUUCGGAAUUAUUGGGCGUAAAGCGCGCGCAGGCGGCCUGGCAAGUCCAGGGGUGAAAUACCGGGGCUCAACCCCGCGUACGCCCCGGAUACUGCCAGGCUAGAGACACGUAGAGGCAAGCGGAAUUCCGGGUGUAGCGGUGGAAUGCGUAGAGAUCCGGAAGAACACCGGAGGCGAAGGCGGCUUGCUGGGCGUGAUCUGACGCUGAGGCGCGAAAGCGUGGGGAGCGAACAGG